UUUAUAUGAGAGUUUGAUCCUGGCUCAGGAUGAACGCCGGCGGUGUGCCUAAUACAUGCAAGUCGAACGCGUUGGCCCAAUUGAUUGAUGGUGCUUGCACCUGAUUGAUUUUGGUCGCCAACGAGUGGCGGACGGGUGAGUAACACGUAGGUAACCUGCCCAGAAGCGGGGGACAACAUUUGGAAACAGAUGCUAAUACCGCAUAACAGCGUUGUUCGCAUGAACAACGCUUAAAAGAUGGCUUCUCGCUAUCACUUCUGGAUGGACCUGCGGUGCAUUAGCUUGUUGGUGGGGUAACGGCCUACCAAGGCGAUGAUGCAUAGCCGAGUUGAGAGACUGAUCGGCCACAAUGGGACUGAGACACGGCCCAUACUCCUACGGGAGGCAGCAGUAGGGAAUCUUCCACAAUGGGCGCAAGCCUGAUGGAGCAACACGCGCGUGAGUGAAGAAGGGUUUCGGCUCGUAAAGCUCUGUUGUUAAAGAAGAACACGUAUGAGAGUAACUGUUCAUACGUUGACGGUAUUUAACCAGAAAGUCACGGCUAACUACGUGCCAGCAGCCGCGGUAAUACGUAGGUGGCAAGCGUUAUCCGGAUUUAUUGGGCGUAAAGAGAGUGCAGGCGGUUUUCUAAGUCUGAUGUGAAAGCCUUCGGCUUAACCGGAGAAGUGCAUCGGAAACUGGAUAACUUGAGUGCAGAAGAGGGUAGUGGAACUCCAUGUGUAGCGGUGGAAUGCGUAGAUAUAUGGAAGAACACCAGUGGCGAAGGCGGCUACCUGGUCUGCAACUGACGCUGAGACUCGAAAGCAUGGGUAGCGAACAGGAUUAGAUACCCUGGUAGUCCAUGCCGUAAACGAUGAGUGCUAGGUGUUGGAGGGUUUCCGCCCUUCAGUGCCGGAGCUAACGCAUUAAGCACUCCGCCUGGGGAGUACGACCGCAAGGUUGAAACUCAAAGGAAUUGACGGGGGCCCGCACAAGCGGUGGAGCAUGUGGUUUAAUUCGAAGCUACGCGAAGAACCUUACCAGGUCUUGACAUCUUGCGCCAACCCUAGAGAUAGGGCGUUUCCUUCGGGAACGCAAUGACAGGUGGUGCAUGGUCGUCGUCAGCUCGUGUCGUGAGAUGUUGGGUUAAGUCCCGCAACGAGCGCAACCCUUGUUACUAGUUGCCAGCAUUAAGUUGGGCACUCUAGUGAGACUGCCGGUGACAAACCGGAGGAAGGUGGGGACGACGUCAGAUCAUCAUGCCCCUUAUGACCUGGGCUACACACGUGCUACAAUGGACGGUACAACGAGUCGCGAACUCGCGAGGGCAAGCAAAUCUCUUAAAACCGUUCUCAGUUCGGACUGCAGGCUGCAACUCGCCUGCACGAAGUCGGAAUCGCUAGUAAUCGCGGAUCAGCAUGCCGCGGUGAAUACGUUCCCGGGCCUUGUACACACCGCCCGUCACACCAUGAGAGUUUGUAACACCCAAAGUCGGUGGGGUAACCUUUUAGGAGCCAGCCGCCUAAGGUGGGACAGAUGAUUAGGGUGAAGUCGUAACAAGGUAGCCGUAGGAGAACCUGCGGCUGGAUCACCUCCUUUCUA
rnacentral:rRNA from 2 species